GGAGGAAAGCAGGGGAUCGCAAGACCUUGCGCUUUUGGAGUGGCCGAUGCCUGAUUAGCUAGUUGGUGGGGUAAGAGCCUACCAAGGCGACGAUCAGUAGUUGGUCUGAGAGGACGACCAGCCACACUGGGACUGAGACACGGCCCAGACUCCUACGGGAGGCAGCAGUGGGGAAUUUUGGACAAUGGGCGAAAGCCUGAUCCAGCAAUGCCGCGUGAGUGAAGAAGGCCUUCGGGUUGUAAAGCUCUUUCAGUCGAGAAGAAAAGGUCGCGACUAAUAAUCGCGACUCAUGACGGUAUCGACAGAAGAAGCACCGGCUAACUACGUGCCAGCAGCCGCGGUAAUACGUAGGGUGCGAGCGUUAAUCGGAAUUACUGGGCGUAAAGGGUGCGCAGGCGGCUUUGUAAGUCAGAUGUGAAAUCCCCGGGCUUAACCUGGG
rnacentral:rRNA from 1 species